GAUGGGUUAUGUGGAAAGAGACUGGAGAUAGGAUGAGGUUGAGGUUGGAGAGCUUUUAAAACAUUAUUUUAAUAGUCCCAAAGUUAUUAAAGUCCAAAAUUGGGGCAUUAGAAUAGGGAAGGAGCCAUCGAUGGAACUUGGCAGGAUUAGGAAGAAGAGAGAGCCAAAGAAAGAGAAACUAGUUAGAUGAUCCUAAAAAUUUUGAGCCUGUGUUAUAUAGGGAGACUAGUGAAAACCGCACAGUCAGUUUGGGAAAUAGCUUUGGAAGAAUAGGCAACAGAUAAAUUCAAUUUUAGAUUUGUUGUAUUUGAGUGGAUACUGGGACAGCCACAAAGAAAUGACCGUUAGACAAUUUGACUAUUUGAAAGUAAGCUCAUAAUUAAAGAUAACAAUUUGGAAGUCAUUCAUACGAGAUGCAAGUUGAAAGUGAUGUAAUGAUAAAGGGUAAAGGUUGAAAGUUGAACAAAAGGAAGAGUCAAGAAGGUAGGCAAUCAAGGCUUUUCAGAGUUAGGACAACCAGAUACCUUGCAGCCCUCAAUUUCUAAAAGAAUAUUUUAAAAAAGAAAAUAAUCGAAAGACUGAUUUUUUUUCCCCCUGUAAUCUUAUAAUCUUGGCCCCUUUUUUUGUUUGUUUAGUUCUGUAAUUGUUUGUUGAAAUUUCAUUACCAUUAAUCGAAACUGAUAAAGAAUAAAAUUUGGGGGCGGGGAGACAAUCCUUUUUCCAGUUUUGUAGUGUCUAUCAUGAAUUUUCUUUGCAUGAUAUUUUAUGUUUAUCAUUAAGUAGUCAUUCGUUCAUUCUGUCAUUGAGAAAGACCUAUCAAGUAAUUUCAUCUUUUUCUGUGAGUCUGUUCUUACUCUUCCGUCUCUGGAGUUUGGACAUCUUAAGUAGGGACAAUACCCCUUUUAAAUCCUCACUGAGGAUAUGUUUUUAUUGAUUUUAACCUAGGUAUGUGCUUUGACCAGGGAUCGAACCAGCAACCUUUUAGUAUAUGGGAUGACACUCCAACCAGCUCAGCCACCUGGCCAGGGUGGGCCAACCCCCCUUUUAAAUUAAUUGCCUGUAUCUAUUAUUUUGGCCUUUAUUGAUUUAGUUAACCGAUACUUAGUGAGUGCGUAUUAUGUGCAUGUGCAGCACUCAGGUUCUAAAAUAGAUGGAUGGAUGGAUGGAUGGAUGGAUGGAUUGAUUGAUUGUAAUCUCAAAUUCUAUUUAUGCUUCACUUCCUUGACUAGAUCCUCUCUUCAAAAGUGAAAUGAAAGUUCCUAAACUCUUGGCAUUAGAAGAAUUUGCUGGCAAAUAUCUUUCAAAUGACUUUACCCACCAAAUAGGUUUUUUUUGUUAUUGUUAUUGUACUAAUGAUGAGUAUUGGUACUUAUAAAAUAAUGUAGCUGGAAGGAGCAUUGGUAAGUGGUUAUCCAACCUUUUCUUGAACACAUAAUUUAUUCUAAGGACAAUGUAAAUCUGUUUUUUAUACUACAAAUAAAAAUGCUAAAAUAAUCUGCACAUACAAGAUAAUAUUAUGGUAAUUAUUUACUUUCCUAGUUCAUCCAAAUUGCUCAACCUUGGUUUUGUGUAAGUCAGAUUCUUCUCAGUACCUUAAAUGAUUCUGUUGCCUAAUGGUCUAUGUUAUAUUUUAUAUAUAGUGAUAAUGAAGAGCUGUUUUCCGUUCCUAACUUUUUUUUUACCUUAGAAUUAUUAUUUUUAUCUAGGGCCUGUUAAUAAUUUCUCAGUAGUUUUGCAUGCUUUUGAAAGUGGUAAUGAGUAGUUUAAUUAAGUCUGACAGCUCCAUAGGAAAAAAUGCAUGUGAUUUAUAAAUUAAAAAGGAAGAACAAGGUAAGUGGGUGGGAGCGUUAGGUAUACACUUGUCUUGCAGUUUAAUAUUUCUUGAAAAUACAGCUAUCUUGCCUGUAGCACGUGUAGCACACAGGAUGCCAGUUAAGAGCAUGAUCUUUUUUCUAGUUUUUCUUUAGCUGGUGGAGAUGUAGCAAUAGGUGGGUAAGAAAGGAGGGAAAGGUAUCAAUAUUAGUUGAACAGUGCGUACAGAGUUCUAACAAGGCUGUCCCUUUGCACAUUUUUGUUGCUAGCAUAUUUUAUUAGCUAGUUUUUUAGAAUGUAAAAGGCAAACUUGUUUGUUUUUGAGGUUUUCUUCCUUUAAACUCUCUUUUCCUGAGCUUCUUGACCCAAUGUUUUCCAUCUUUUCAUUGCUGAUUUCUUUUUUCUUUUAGCCUCAGUCUUUGGUCUAUAAUGUUUAUCUUUCUCUUCAUUUUCUUGGAGAGUUUAUACAUUGUUACAGCUUCAACUACUAUCAUCUCUAUGCCCAUGAAAUCCAAAUCUUUAUUUUUUAGUCUCGUUUGUUUGUUUGUUUGAAAUACUAAAUAUCUGACUGCCUGCUAGGCAUCUCUACUUAGAUGUCAGGUUAUCGUUCAGAUUCUUCUGAUUUCAAAAUAGGAUUUCUCCAAUGUACUUACCUGUUUUGUCAUCACUACCCGCUACUCUCCUGUUGCACAGUUGGAAUUUUUGUUCUGAACUUUAACUUUGAUAGUCGUAGGCCACACAUCGGAUUAUUUCAACAGAUUUUGACAAGCAUCCCAUAUUUUAGAUUAUUGCUGUAUAUCCCCCCUUAUAUCCUGCCAGUUGAAUAGAUCAAAUUUAGCAUUAUGGUACUGGUGCUGAAAGAAAAGACCUGAAGUCAUUAAAUCUUUGGGACUUAAAGCUAUAUGCCUGCCAUUGUUCAUAAUCAGUGAGUUAAUGGGUGUUACCAGUAUCAGUUGCACAUCUGGUUAAUUUGGACCAGACUGUUUUGAUGUUAAUAUGUUGCAAGAAUUUUUAAAGAAAACAAAUUACUCCAUUGAUUUGUUCAGCAAAUCUGUGUGUGGGGUCUAAACUUGGAUUCAAAUGUAGGUUCUGCAGUGUUCUAACUAGAUGAUUUUGGUGUUAAUUCUUCAAGGCUCAUUUCAUUUUCAGGAAAGUGGGGGAUAAUGGUAGUGAAUUGUUUUAAGGAUCAAGUAAUAUGGACAAAGCAGUUAUCACAGCAUAUGGCAUUUAGUAAACAUUUAUUAAUUGGUAACUAUUAUUUUUGUCAUAUUUAUAGUGUUCCUGUUUUAUGCUAGUCAUUAUGCUUAGUUUGGAAGUUGAUAUUUAUUGUCUUUUCUAAGUGCAGAGGAAUUUAUCUGGCACCUCAAGUCAUGCCCAUAAAUUCAUAACCCAGCUAUACUUCACUGAAGUGUCAAAGCCGAUUGUUACUGAAAAUGGAGACAGUUAGAUGGAAUUCAGUAGUCUUCAAAAGCCUGUUUAUUUAUUUAGUCAUAUUUACAAUAUACCUGUUUUGUGCCAAGGGUUAAGACUGAUAAGAAAGGCAGUUGGAAGCUGGUUUGUGGAAAUUGAGUUGUUACCUUGCUUUCUUUCUUUGUGUAUCUUUUAUAUUUUCAGUGUAUGUUAAAUGGACUCUUGUACUACAAGCACCCUGUGGGUGUAUAGAGAGGUGGCUCAGAGUAACAGCUGAGACAUGAAUUGGGCCAUUCAUUAACCUCUUGAGUCAGAAAUGUUUUUAAUCCUGAAGGAGCCACAUAUAAAAUUUUAUAAUGAACAAAGAAUGAAUUUUCAGUUUUAGAUUACAUUUUUAUAACUUUACAGUUUUAUUUUAUAAUUAUAAGUUUUGAUGUUGUGUAUAUAUGCUGAAAACUGGAGAUUCUAUUAUAUGUAACAGAAUAACCCACAUAUUACAAAAUACUACCUAUUGAGUUGUAUUGCUGAGGAUAGUUCAGUAGCUAUACUUCCCCAUUCCAAUCCCCACUGAAAAAGAGGUACAUUCAGUUUACAUCCAGAGAAUAGCUGAUGAAUACCACACUCGUGCAUGUACAGGAAUAUGAGCAGAUAGUACUGCAUUUCACAAUGGAAAAUACAUUUUUUUUAAGUAUGCUGUUAGCAUGGUGUAGUGAAAAGACUAAAGUAGAAAUUCAGAGCACUGGCAUAUCCUUAUUUUGCUUUUAAUUCUCUGUAAACAAGUAAAUCUUUUUUCUUAUCUGGUCUUCAGUUUCCCCAUUUGUAAAAUGAAGAGUUGGGCCAUAUAGUUGCUGAUGUCUAUUGUGUCUCUAAAAAUUCUGUGAGUCUUUAUUUAUUAUACUUCCAUAAAAACUUCAGAAGUGUGUCAUUGGUUUCUUAUUUAAGAAAUAAAAAAGUUAAAUGGUGUUCGUGUAAAAAUAUAAUAGGAACUAUCUUUUAAAGUGCUAUUUUUGAAACUAGUUCUGUAUAGCUUCAGUAGAUCAUCCUAAACAAAUUUUUAAUUGUUAUAUUUGGCACUUACUCUUUUUUGCAUUUGUGACUUGUAUUUAUAACUCUAGAGGGUUUAUAUUUUUUGAACAAAGUAAUGAUUGAAUUACUGAUUUGUGUAUCCUUUAAAAUAUAUACAUGUACUUUACUUCUCUAAUAUACCUGUUUUCCUUGUUUGGUAUUGUGAAACAUUUGAGUACAUUUUCCUUAGAGUUUCUAGACAAUUAGUAGGAAGUUAGAUGUUCAGAUUUUGAUGUCUCAGGGAGGGGAGAGGUUAUCUUAUACUUAACUCCUUUUAAAAGGUAGGCUAACCUGUGCUCCCUCUUUAUUCCCUUGUUUGUUUGUUUUUAUUAUUUUGUUGUUAUUUCCAUACUUUAUUUAUAGUCUUUUAUUCCAUACUUCCUAUAUUGACCUUUGGCCAUAAAUUGAAGUGUUAUAUGAGAUUGUUCCCUGAAACUAAUUUUGAAAUACUGGACUGCAGUUAACUCUCUUUUUUUCUCUUUGCUGGUAUUCAUUCAUUUAUUCGUUCAACAAAAGUUCAUUUGGUAUUUGCUGUGUGCUAGGUGCUCUGAUAGGCACCAGGGACACCAUGGUGAGGAAAAGCAAACAUGGGCUCUGCUUUCAUGGAAUUUAUAGUCUCUGGUGAAGAAUAAAUUAUGAACAAAUGUUAGUGGGGUCAUGUUUGAAGGGAAGAUAAGAGAUAUAAUCAUGCCAUUUCUUUAAGUUUUGAGAUAUAUUUAAAGACUUGUGAUAAAGUAGUGUGUAAGUGUAUAAUUUUCAGGUAUGAGUGUAGAUUGUCUGUAUCAGAUUCACUUGAGGAUUUCCUAAAAAUGUAAUCUGGGCCCAUACCUAGGCCAACAAAAUAGAAAUUUUGGAGGAUGAGUCCUAGGAUUCUGCACAAGGUGUGGAUUCUUAGACAUACUCAAGUUUGAAAACUCUGGUGAUAGUGUAAAGAACAUAGAUUUUAAUUUUGUGUGGUAAUUUUAUAAAUGAAAAAUUUUGCACAUGCACUGAAGAGUAGGGGAAAUAGGUGAAUCCCCAUUACCAGAUUCUGCAGUUUUCAAAAUUUUGUCAUACUUGCUUCAUAAGUCACUGUUUUUCUUGCCAAAAUACUUAAAAGUAAAUCCCAAUGAUUUUAUCCUUACCUAUUUCAGUAAACAUCUUUUAAAAAAAACCAUUUUCUUAUAUUACUACAAUGCCCAUUAUUGUGUCUAACAAAAUUAAAAGCUCAUUAGUACCAUUAAUUCCCAGUUAAUACUCAAAUUUUUCUAGUUUAAAAUACUUCUUUACAGUUGCUCUAUUAGAAUUUGGAUCCAAAUUCUACAUGUUGUUUUUGUUUGUUGGGUCUUUUAAGCUUUUUUAGAGAACUGAAGAAUUUAGUAACUUUCACUUAUUAUCCAUAGCAGGGGUCCCCAAUCUGUUAGGAACGGGCGGGCCCCCAGCGAAGCUCUCCCAGGCUCUGCCUCCUGUCGCUCUGCUGUCCCCCCACACUGGGCGAGCUAGCGAAGCUCACCUGAACUCUGUCUCCUAUACCCCCUGUCUUCCACCAAACCCGUCCCUGGUGCCAAAAAGAUUGGGGACCGCUGAUCAAUAGGACUGUUUGUUUACCAUGAAAUAGAGUUUGUAAAAUAAUAGGAUUAAUGCUGUAGUCUUUCUCUUUAAUUGCCACUUUUCAGAGUAAGAUGUUUAUUUUGGAGCCUUAGUGUGAUAAACAUGCUACAGUUUGAGGGAAGUUUAAGAAAGGCAUUAUUUUCAAAGAUAUAUACAAUAUUUAAAGAAUUUAGGCAUAGUGCAGUACCCCGGAACUAGUAACAAUGGAGAUGAGAGCUGUUACCACCUCUAGACCUGAAGGGACAAGGGAAGAGAGCAAUUGGGGAGGGUAGCUCCAUGGAGAGGGCUGUUUGACAAAGGGGUGUGAUUUUAAGUGGAGACAAGCAUGUUUUAAGUGAGGGAACCAGGGGAAUAUAGGAGUAUAUCCCGGCCCUUAUUGACCUCGCACUCUAUGGUCUCCUAUCUGUGGUUUCCCGUUGCCUGAAAAGCUAGUAUGAAAAAGAACCUAUUGAUCCAGUCCCCAAGUGUUAGCAAACAAAAUACACCCAGUUUUUAUUUAUUUCUUUUUUAAUUUUUAACAUCAUUAUGGAAACCAUUAAAAAUAUAUAUGUAUUUGGUGUGUUUCAGUCAAUUUUUGUGAUUCUUGCUGAUGUUCAGUUUUUUCAAUCUUUGACUAAUAGGAACAUUUUUGCAUCUCCACGCUCCCGCUAGGUUCUGUGGAAUAGUAGUCUUCCACAAACUGUUACCUGGUGCCAAAAAGGUUGGGGACCACUGCUAUAAUUGACUCUGUAAAUUGUAAUUGAAAAAUUGUAUGCCUUGAACAGAUAAUAUCUAGUCUGUGAAACUUGAUUUAUUUUAGGAACAUAAUACAAAAUUCACUAAUUGAAACCAUCUUCUUAAAUUUCCAGCCUUAUCAAAAAGUUCUCUUUUAGGUAUACAUCUUCUAUUUGUUCUUUCAUAGAUUGCUUAAAUUUUACUCUUUCUUAAAAGUAGGACAAAGAAAAUGUUUUUAUGAUUAUCAUCUACUCUUAAAGUGUUUACUUAUCUCAUCCUAAUUGUAUUUCUCCUCUUAUUUCUAGUAAUUUCUAGUCAUAGAGAUAGUAUAGCAUAGUGGAUAAGAGCAUGGGUUCUGGAGUCUGACUACAUAAUUUUUAAUU